CCCGGUUUGUGACUGCUAAUGCUGUGUUCGAAUUCGGGAAUCGUUUAGGUUACUGACUCGAGAACAGCUCAGUCUACUCUAGUUGAAGUUAGUGAACCGGUUCAACGGAUUCAUCGAAAAGAUCCGACUCAAAAGAAUGAUUCGUUCAUUAAUCGGAAAUCGCGCACUUCAAGACAGUUUUGUUGAUGAUCUUGUGGUGGCUUCAUGCAGUUCUGCCUUGGCUUGAACGGAGCUUACUUUUCAUGAUUCCUCGGUCUGAAGUUGAUUUUUUAUCGCUUUGAUCGGCAUCUUUAACUAAAAGUAGUUUAUCCGCGACUCUGACACUCAAACAGGUGUCCGUUUCACAGUUAUGACUUUCAGCAUGACUAGCACACCUGGUAAGUUCUACACAUUGUCUUCUAAUAUAAAGAGCAAACCUCUUUUAGAGCAUUAGAGGUUUCCCAUUACAGGCACCUUAGAGGUGUGUCAUAUAUCAAACAAUGAAUCUAUACAUUAUAAUAGGCUAAUGUAACAAUCUUGGCACUAACACAAUUUAUUUAGCAUAUAAUAGCCUAUUUGUACACUCGUACCUGACCUCAUUUGGGUCUUGAAAUGUUUCAUUCGAGGCUGUACUUAAGCAUUAAAUAAAAUCUAUGCACAGUGAAUUCCUAACUUGGUGCCAUGUUGUAUUUCUGCUAAUCUGAUUACUCUUCAACAAAACAGUUCCUCCAGCUGGAAAUGGUUGUAAUUCCACAUUUCAGUGAAUGUAAUCUUGACAUUCGGGUUUAGUGCAUUUGUUUUUUUCCUCAGGUAUAAAUGUUACAUCAACAACUGCAGCUCCACCUCAGACAGACACGACUGUCAUUGGAGUGGUAAUUGCACUGAUCCUGGUGACCCUUGUUGUCUGUGGAUUCCUGCUGUACCGAUACCUGUGCCACAGUAAGGGUGUUUACCGAACUGCGGGUGAGCCCGCUCCAGGUGUGGACCCUGACCAGGUCUACAAUGAC